rnacentral:rRNA from 1 species
AGGAUCAUUACCUAGAGUUGUAGGCUUUGCCUACCAUCUCUUACCCAUGUCUUUUGAGUACCUUCGUUUCCUCGGCGGGUCCGCCCGCCGAUUGGACAAACUUAAACCCUUUGUAAUUGAAAUCAGCGUCUGAAAAAACAUAAUAGUUACAACUUUCAACAACGGAUCUCUUGGUUCUGGCAUCGAUGAAGAACGCAGCGAAAUGCGAUAAGUAGUGUGAAUUGCAGAAUUCAGUGAAUCAUCGAAUCUUUGAACGCACAUUGCGCCCCUUGGUAUUCCAUGGGGCAUGCCUGUUCGAGCGUCAUUUGUACCUUCAAGCUCUGCUUGGUGUUGGGUGUUUGUCUCGCCUUUGCGUGUAGACUCGCCUUAAAACAAUUGGCAGCCGGCGUAUUGAUUUCGGAGCGCAGUACAUCUCGCGCUUUGCACUCAUAACGACGACGUCCAAAAAGUACUUUUUACACUCUUGACCUCGGAUCAGGUAGGGAUACCCGCUG